rnacentral:rRNA from 1 species
CCUACGGGAGGCAGCAGUGGGGGAUAUUGCACAAUGGGGGAAACCCUGAUGCAGCGACGCCGCGUGUGGGAAGAUGGUCCUCUGGAUUGUAAACCACUGUCCCCAGGGACGAAGAUGACGGUACCUGGGGAGGAAGCUCCGGCUAACUACGUGCCAGCAGCCGCGGUAAUACGUAGGGAGCGAGCGUUGUCCGGAAUUACUGGGUGUAAAGGGAGCGUAGGCGGGACUGCAAGUUGGGUGUAAAAUCUACGGGCUCAACCGGUAGCCGCACUCAAAACUGCAGUUCUUGAGUGAAGUAGAGGCAGGCGGAAUUCCUAGUGUAGCGGUGAAAUGCGUAGAUAUUAGGAGGAACACCAGUGGCGAAGGCGGCCUGCUGGGCUUUUACUGACGCUGAGGCUCGAAAGUGUGGGGAGCAAACAGGAUUAGAUACCCUUGUAGUC